AUACCAGCACCCCGAGUGGUCGGGAUGAUUAUUGGGCCUAAAGCGUCCGUAGCCGGUGUAGCAAGUCCUCCGUUAAAUCCACUUGCUCAACAGGUGGGCUGCGAAGGAUACUGUUACACUCGGAGGCGGGAGAGGCGAGGGGUAUUCCACGGGUAGGGGUAAAAUCCUCUGAUCCGUGGAGGACCACCAGUGGCGAAGGCGUCUCGCCAGAACGCGCUCGACGGUGAGGGAUGAAAGCUGGGGGAGCAAACCGGAUUAGAAACCCUAGUAGUCC
rnacentral:rRNA from 1 species